CUACAGUGACACCAAAGAUGAAGGGGAUAUUGACGGGAGAGCGAGAGAGUAGUUGGGAGCUGAGAUGCUUCAGCAUCAUAGUUGGGUACCUGGAGGAGGGUCCUAUUUCCAGGCAACUCAUACUUCAGUCCAAGCUAUGAGAAUAUUUCUAAAACUCCUCCACUUCUCUGGAUCCCUCCACUUCAAAUCCUAUUCAAGGACAAUUUUUCAUGGAAACUUCUCUUAUAAAGGAUCACACUCUCUGCAGUAUUUCUACUCGGCUGUGUCUGAGCCAGGUCCAGGAGUCCCUGCAUUUACUGCCUUUGGCUUCAUGGAUGACCAACCCUUCAUCCGCUAUGACAGUGAGGAGAUGAAGGCAAAGUCUUGCGUUCAGUGGUUGAUGGAGGAGCCAAGUUACUUUGAUGACGAGACCAAUAUCUUCACAAGUCGGAUGAAGAUUUUCCAGUUAAAUUUGAGGAAUGUGCAGCGAUACUACAAUCAAACUGUGGAGCAUCGUCUAAACAAAGGACACCCACAGAAGCAAGCAGGCCCCCAUGUCCUCCAGUUCACCUAUGGCUGUGAGCUCCGGGAGGACAGCAGCACCACCUGGCACUGGCAGUAUGGCUACAAUGGUGACGACUACCUGAGGUUGGAUAUGGACCCUCUGCAAUACACGGCAGUCUCACUCAUUGCCCAGUACACCAAGCAGAAAUGGGAGGCCAGUGGGAACUUCAUCGAGAGAGACAAGAUCUAUUUGGAGAAGGAGUGCAUCCUGUGGCUGCGGAGAUACUUGGAGUUUGGAGGGGAGAGCUUGAACCGCACUGAACCUCCCAGAACACACGUGACGCACCACCCCAUCUCUCACCGUGAGGUGACCCUGAGGUGCUGGGCCCUGGGCUUCUACCCUGCAGAGAUCACUCUGACCUGGCAGCAUGAUGGAGAGAUCCAGGACACAGAGUUUGUGGACACUAGGCCUGCAGGGGACGGGACCUUCCAGAAGUGGGCAGCUGUGGUGGUGCCUUCUGGAGAGGAGCAGAGAUACACGUGCCAUGUGCAGCACGAGGGGCUGCCUGAGCCCGUCAUCCUGAGAUGGGAGUCCCCUCCUCGGGCCACCAUUCCCAUUGCGGGAAUCUUUGUUGUCCUGGUUUUCCUUGGAGUUGUGGUCUGUGGAGCUGCAGUGGUUAGAUCUGUGAACUGGAGAAAGGAAACGCUCAGGUAAGGAAGGGGUGGGGUCUGAGGCUUUUUGUCCCACUGGGGGCUUUCAAGCCCAUGUAGAAGUUUGCCCUGCCUAGUUAACGGCAAGUACCACCGACACACACGUGCUUGCCAGACUGGGGUCAUUUGCUAACACUUACUCUUUAGUAAAACACAUGUGAAAAUGAAGACAAAUUUAUCAACUUGAUGAAUCUGGUGAUGGGGACCUGAUUCUCAGCAGCUGAAGGCGGAGAAUAAGGAUGCUACGCUUAGGCUACAUGCAGUGACAGUGGCCAGGGCUCUGAUGUGCCUCUCAAGGAUCCUAAAGUGUGAGGCAGUGACCUUUUGGGGGACUGAGUGAUACAAGAUUGUUCAUGCCUUGCCUCUCAUUGUGACUUGAAAACCCUAACUUCUCUUUAUGCAACUGGGAUCUGAAUGCAUCUGAGUUCCUCUCAUCACAAUGUGAGGAAGUGGGGAAACUGGAUCAUAUGGGGAGACUAUGGCCGCCUGUGUGCACUGAUCUGUGUUUUCUUCCCUUAUUGACUUCCAC